GAGAAAGGGGCUCAGGAAGUACCAGCCCAUGCAAGACUGUAGGUUGUAUUUCAACGGUUCAUUUCCACAGCAGCCAAUAAAGGGAAGUGAAUUCUGAGCGCUCACUGACGCAGCUCUGACACAAACCACAGAGCUGUAGAGGCUUCAAUGCUCGUCUGCUUGUCUAACGCGAUCUUUAGCACUUUAUCAUUAUAAUGAAGGUAAUAUAAGUCAAAAGGUCUAAAUAUAGUGCCAGGAUCACGUUAAAGGAGUACCUGUAGAAACUCGGCUUAGCUUUGGACUUAAAUUUGGACUUUUUUGUUUUGUCGUGGUUGUUCUGGACGUUGAUGAGUGCUGUGGGAAGUUACGUCCGUCUCCAGAUUCUUCGACGAUUGAUGUUUGUUUUUGUGUUUAAUCGGUCACAAAGGAGCUGUGUGUGUUUUUCAAGGCAGCUACAAGCUGUUUGGAGUGAACAUGGAGCGGAGACAGAGACGGAGAGGAAUAAGGAGCUUGUGUUUGAGGUCUGGAUACAACUACACGAAAUCUGCAAAUAUGGUGACUGUGCUCUCUCUAUGGGUGGACUUGCUGUCUGCACUGCGGGUAGUUGACCAGACCUAACUGACAUCAUAUUAAGCUGCCAUAAGUCCAUCACAAUAAUUUCUUUUAGAGGGUCUACAACACUCUGGAGGAAAUCUUUAAACCACCGAGCUCGCUUUGGAUUGUCAUCUGGACUGGAUGUGACUUAGACGGCGGAGAGAGCUGAAGCAGGAGCGGACAUGUCGAUCUGCUGUGCGGCCAGGCUAAACCUCCACCUCCUGGUAUUUUCCUCACAAACUCCACAUCCAUCACAAUGACAUCAAAUAUUUGGAUCUGCUGAUCGCUGAUCGGACAACUUCAUCCAGAAAUGCAGUGUGAAUAUUUAAAGAGAAAACUGUUGAACACGGAAAACACAGUGACUCUGAGAGUGAUCCACCUGUAAUCUACUCGGCAGUGAGAACUGAAGACAUCAGUUAUGGACAAAUAACUAUCAGACCAAAGAGGACCAGAGCUUAUCACACAUUUGAUUUCCAUGUGUGACAACUGCAAGUGUCCAGAGUGAGGACAGACUGAGGGACCCACUGCUGCACAUCAUCUGUGAGGCUUUGCACCCCUGAUGAUCCACCAGGACAAACUCAG
ensembl:lncRNA